rnacentral:rRNA from 1 species
UGGGGAAUUUUCCGCAAUGGGCGAAAGCCUGACGGAGCAACGCCGCGUGAGGGAUGAAGGCCUCUGGGCUGUAAACCUCUUUUCUCAAGGAAGAAGAUCUGACGGUACUUGAGGAAUAAGCCACGGCUAAUUCCGUGCCAGCAGCCGCGGUAAUACGGGAGUGGCAAGCGUUAUCCGGAAUUAUUGGGCGUAAAGCGUCCGCAGGCGGCCCUUCAAGUCUGCUGUUAAAGCGUGGAGCUUAACUCCAUCAUGGCAGUGGAAACUGUUGGGCUUGAGUGUGGUAGGGGCAGAGGGAAUUCCCGGUGUAGCGGUGAAAUGCGUAGAUAUCGGGAAGAACACCAGUGGCGAAGGCGCUCUGCUGGGCCAUCACUGACGCUCAUGGACGAAAGCCAGGGGAGCGAAAGGGAUUAGAUACCCCUGUAGUC